UACGGAGGGGGCUAGCGUUGUUCGGAAUUACUGGGCGUAAAGCGCGCGUAGGCGGACCUGCAAGUCGGGGGUGAAAUCCCGGGGCUCAACCUCGGAACUGCCUUUGAUACUGGGGAUCUCGAGUCCGGGAGAGGUGAGUGGAAUUGCGAGUGUAGAGGUGAAAUUCGUAGAUAUUCGCAAGAACACCAGUGGCGAAGGCGGCUCACUGGCCCGGUACUGACGCUGAGGUGCGAAAGCGUGGGGAGCAAACAGG
rnacentral:rRNA from 1 species